UGGAUUGUAGCUCAGUGGUAGUGUACCUGACUUGCAUGCAGAAGAUCCCAAGUUCAAUCCCAGGCAUAUCAUCAA
rnacentral:tRNA from 1 species